ACAUAGAAAAUCCAAAUACAUGAAUCACCUAAAUGCACAUUGAAAAUCCAAAUGAAUGCAGAUUGAAAAUCCAAAUACAUGGACUACCUAAAUAUACAUUGAAAAUCUAAAUAAAUGCACAUUGAAAAUCUAAAUAAAUGCACAUUGAAAAUCCAAAUACAUAAACCACCUGAAAGCACAUUGAAAACCCAAAUGAAUGGACAUUGAAAAUCCAAAUACACGAACCACUAAUCUCAAGGUGACCCUUCAUAUAUUCAUGAACCUCCCAAAAAAUAUUUAUUAAGUUUAUUUUCUCAACACC
rnacentral:lncRNA from 1 species